AUUGAACGCUGGCGGCAGGCUUAACACAUGCAAGUCGAGCGGUAACAGAGAGAAGCUUGCUUCUCUGCUGACGAGCGGCGGACGGGUGAGUAAUGCCUAGGAAUCUGCCUAGUAGUGGGGGAUAACUUGCCGAAAGGUAAGCUAAUACCGCAUACGUCCUACGGGAGAAAGGAGGGGACCUUCGGGCCUUUCGCUAUUAGAUGAGCCUAGGUCGGAUUAGUUAGUUGGUGAGGUAAUGGCUCACCAAGACCGCGAUCCGUAACUGGUCUGAGAGGAUGAUAAGUCACACUGGAACUGAGACACGGUCCAGACUCCUACGGGAGGCAGCAGUGGGGAAUAUUGGACAAUGGGGGGAACCCUGAUCCAGCCAUGCCGCGUGUGUGAAGAAGGUCUUAGGAUUGUAAAGCACUUUAAGUUGGGAGGAAGAGCAGUUAACUAAUAUUUGACUGUCUUGACGUUACCGACAGAAUAAGCACCGGCUAACUUCGUGUCAGCAGCCGCCGUAA
rnacentral:rRNA from 1 species